rnacentral:rRNA from 1 species
UACAGAGGUCCCAAGCGUUGUUCGGAUUCACUGGGCGUAAAGGGUGCGUAGGCGGUCGGGUAAGUCUGAUGUGAAUUCUCACAGCUUAACUGUGAAACUGCAUUGGAUACUAUCCGGCUCGAGGAAUGGAGGGGAGACUGGAAUACUUGGUGUAGCAGUGAAAUGCGUAGAUAUCAAGUGGAACACCAGUGGCGAAGGCGAGUCUCUGGACAUUUCCUGACGCUGAGGCACGAAAGCCAGGGGAGCAAACGGG